AACGAACGUUGGCGGCCUGGAUUAGGCAUGCAAGUUGAGCGUACCCCGCAAGGGGGAGCAGCGUAAGGGGCAGUAAGGUAUGGGUACCUACCCGGGGAUCGGGCAUAGCCUGUCGAGAGACAGGGUAAUUCCCGAUGACGUCGCAAGACCAAAGCUCCGGCGUCCCCGGAGGGGCCCAUAUGGUAUUAGCUAGUUGGUGGGGUAACGGCCCACCAAGGCGAAGAUGCCUAGCGGGUGUGAGAGCACGACCCGCGCCACUGGCACUGAGACACUGGCCAGACACCUACGGGUGGCUGCAGUCGAGGAUCUUCGGCAAUGGGCGCAAGCCUGACCGAGCGAGGCCGCGUGGGCGAUGAA
rnacentral:rRNA from 1 species